CUAAUGGGUGCGGGAUAGCAGAGAGAGAUGUUAAUUAGCAUGUGCUUGGCUCGAAUUAUGAGGAGGAUGUUAUUUAUAAGAAAUUUUUUUUCCAAUAGCGGUCGCUCCUUGUAUUUUUGACCAUAAAAAAACUCCUCAUAAAAAAACCAUCUGCUCAAAACUCUUAGUCCCUCGAUUUGUGGAAAAUAUCAAGACGCACACAAAUAAUAGGAGGAGGAGAUCCGCCAAAACACCGAACAAAGGGGGUAAGCGCCAAGUAAGACUUCUGUCCAAAUGUAUACCCAGGUGGCUUGUCAACAGGAUUUUGGCUCUUCAGGUCAUCUGAAAUGAAGGAGUUAAACUGAUUAUUAUUCUGUAGGCUUGUCAUUGCUCUUAUUUGGUAUGUCUGAUGUGUAAAUCAUAUAUGUAACAUUGGCCCUAGCUAACCAGGCUACCUCGAGGAACUCCAUCCAU